UUCCUCUAGAAGGCUAUGGCCUUGUGCAGAUGACAGAUCAUAGUAGACACGGUGGUGUUCCUGUGGGCCCAUCCAGGUGAGGAAUGGGUAUUUAAGCUGCUUAAAGGACUGGUCUCAUCCCCAAGACAACAUUCCUGCUUCUCAAGAAAAAUAACGGUGAGAUGUUACUCCUGAGAGGAAGGGACCUAUCUCUCUUAUACCAAGUCACCCCAGGGAGUGGCCCUGUCUGUGAGCAAGUCCCGUCACCUUGACCCCCAUGUCUGGAUCAGGGAUGGACAUGUGGCCAGUUAUGCCCAUUCAUGUGAAUCCUGCAAAGUCCUCAGGAACCACCAAGAACAGAAGGUCUUUCUUCUGGGGCUGCUGUGCUGCCAGCGCCCACUUUAGACCAGCCCCGGCUCCGUGUGCUUGGCGUCAAGAGUGAGCAGGACACACAAUAGCCCCCAUCUUCCAGCCCGGUCCUUGAAACUCUGCGGACAGAUGAGAUGCAGGAGACCGCCGUUGCCUCAACGACCUUCCAGGUUCUGAGGACCCAGUUUAUUCCAAUGAGGUGAUUAUAGAAUGAGGUGUGGGUAAAUCAUGCAGAGAAACAAUGCUCACAGAAAUUAGGUGAAACAAAGAGAAGCAAGGCCUGGAGCCAUUAGCAAAUGCCGUUAGUCCAUGAGUCUACAUCGGACAGAGGCAGACACUUAGCUGGGCAUGAAGAACAUGCUGAGGAAAGGCUUUUGCUGUUGCUUUUGGGUUUCUUUUUUCUUUGAGACAGUUUCACUCUUGUCACCCAGGUUGGAGUGCAAUGGUGCAAUCUUGGCUCACUACAACCUCUGCCUCCUGGGUUCAAGCAAUUCUCCUGCCACAGCCUCCUGAGUAACUGGUACUACAGUGCUUCAUCCCGUGCCUGGAAUCUUUCGUUAACACAUAGUGGGUGCUCAAUAAAUACAUACGGAAUGGAGGAACUCACUGGGGUUCUGAGCAGACAGAAAGCACCGCCUCAGGAGGUGGGAGCCCCAGACAGCCAGCGAGAGAGGGUCCUGUGUGAUUCCAUUUCACAGAUGAGGAAACCUGGACAGCAGGGGGCUGAUGUUCCUCCCAAGGUUGCACAGCUCCUAAGAUCAAACCUGGCCUUGACCCCAGCAGCACAUCGACAGCCCCAAAGCCCAGGCUUUGCGCCAGCUUUUGGAACAGUCAAAAUAGAUAAAUUAUCCCCAAACAGCCUCCUAAACUGUAGAAACAGAAGCUAAGCCAGUGUGAAUAAACCUGGCUUAUUUAUUCUAGCA
rnacentral:lncRNA from 13 species